rnacentral:rRNA from 1 species
CUACGGGGGGCAGCAGUGGGGAAUAUUGGACAAUGGGGGCAACCCUGAUCCAGCAAUGCCGCGUGUGUGAAGAAGGCCUGCGGGUUGUAAAGCACUUUCAAUGGGGAGGAACGGCACUCGGUGAAUAGCCGAGUGAGAUGGCAUUACCCAUAGAAGAAGCACCGGCUAACUCCGUGCCGGCAGCCGCGGUAAUACGGAGGUUGCGAGCGUUAAUCGGAAUUACUGGGCGUAAAGCGCACGUAGGCGGUGAAUUAAGUCAGAUGUGAAAGCCCCGGGCUUAACCUGGGAAUUGCAUUUGAUACUGAUUGACUGGAGUGCAGUAGAGGGGAGUGGAAUUUCCGGUGUAGCGGUGAAAUGCGUAGAGAUCGGAAGGAACACCAGUGGCGAAGGCGACUCCCUGGACUGACACUGACGCUGAGGUGCGAAAGCGCGGGUAGCAAACAGGAUUAGAUACCCGGGUAGUC